rnacentral:rRNA from 1 species
GCCGUUACUUCAAGUUUUCGGACGAGAAGUGACGGUGGAGAGUGGCGAAAGGGUGAGUAACGCGUGGGCAAUCUGCCCUUAAGUUGGGGACAACCAGCCGAAAGGCUGGCUAAUACCGAAUGUGGUCCGGUCUCGCAUGUGACCAGGACUAAAGACGGGGAUUCUUCGGAACCUGUCGCUUGAGGAGGAGCCCGCGUCCCAUCAGUUAGUUGGUAGGGUAACGGCCUACCAAGGCUUACGGGUAGCUGGUCUGAGAGGAUGGUCAGCCACACUGGGACUGAGACACUGCCCAGACUCCUACGGGAGGCUGCAGUCGAGGAUCAUUCGCAAUGCGCGAAAGCGUGACGAUGCGACGCUGCGUGGAGGAUGACGGCCUUCGGGUUGUAAAACUCCUGUCAUUCGGGAAAAAUAGCAGGAGGGGAUAAUAUCUCUUCUGUAUGAUGGUACCAAAAGAGGAAGCCACGGCUAACUCUGUGCCAGCAGCCGCGGUAAUACAGAGGUGGCGAGCGUUGUUCGGAUUUACUGGGCGUAAAGCGUACGUAGGCGGUUUUAUGUGUCGGAUGUGAAAGCCCACGGCUCAACCGUGGAACUGCAUCCGAAGCUAUAGGACUAGAGUGCAGGAGGGGAGAGCGGAAUUCUUGGUGUAGCGGUGAAAUGCGUUGAUAUCAAGAAGAACACCGGUGGCGAAGGCGGCUCUCUGGAAUGUUACUGACGCUGAGGUACGAAAGCGUGGGGAGCGAACAGGAUUAGAUACCCUGGUAGUCCACGCCGUAAACGGUGUGCACUUGGUGUGGGGGGAGUUGAACCCCUCCGUGCCGGAGCUAACGCGUUAAGUGCACCGCCUGGGGAGUACGGCCGCAAGGCUAAAACUCAAAGAAAUUGACGGGGGCCCGCACAAGCGGAGGAGCAUGUGGCUUAAUUCGAUGCAACGCGAAGAACCUUACCAGGGCUUGACAUGGCGACCCUUCGGGGGUGGUAGCGAAAGUUACCUUUACGAUCACAGGUGCUGCAUGGCUGUCGUCAGUUCGUGCCGUGAGGUGUUGGGUUAAGUCCCGCAACGAACGCAACCCUUGUGUUUAGUUGCUACCGCGGGUGUUAAACUCGCGAGCACUCUAGACAGACUGCCCGUACAAGCGGGAGGAAGGUGGGGACGACGUCAAGUCAGUAUGGCCCUUACGCUCUGGGCUGCACACGUGCUACAAUGGCUGGUACAGAGGGCUGCAAUACCGCGAGGUGGAGCCAAUCCCCAAAACCAGCCCCAGUUCGGAUUGGAGUCUGCAACUCGACUCCAUGAAGUUGGAUUCGCUAGUAACGGCGCAUCAGCUACGGCGCCGUGAAUACGUUCCCGGGCCUUGUACACACCGCCCGUCACAUCAUGAAAGCCGUCUGCACCCGUAGUCGCUGAGCCAACCCGCAAGGGAGGCAGGUGCCGAAGGUGUGGGUGGUGAUUGGGAUGAAGUCGUAACAAGGUA